rnacentral:lncRNA from 1 species
GACGGUGUUCGUGAGCCGCUUCUCGAUCUCCCUCACGCCCUCGUACCCGCUGGAGAGCAUCCCCUCGUACCACUUGGGGUUGAGCAGCUUGGUGCGCGCGUCCAGCCGCACCGUCUCCGCCAGCGUGCGCACCUGCGCGUUCGCCGUCGUGGUGUCGGCGAUGUAGGAGCCUGGUUUCCGACCGUCCUUGCGCAGGGACUGCACGAGCUUGGUGGGGUCGGAGUCGAAGUAGUGGCUCACGUCGGUGAGGGAGAUCUCCGAGGAGUCGAGGUUCUGGAAGGUGGCGUCGGCGGUGGCGAGGGCCAUCUCGAAGACGCGGCGCUUCUCCAUCAUGCCCACGCCGGGGGCGUCGCAGUCGAAGGCGAAGGACUUGCGGCUCAGGUACAUGUCCUGCAGCUGCUUCUCGUCGUUCCAGGAGGAGUUCUCCACGGCGAGGUUGAUGUUGGAGGAGUAGGACCCCGAGGCGUUGGAGAAGACCCGCGUCGCCGCGUCCCGCACGGUCGUGCCCAGCUCCGCCGCCUGCUGCAGCGCGUGCUUCCGCACGAAGUUCAUCUCCUCCGGCUCGUCCAGCUCCGCCACCAUCU